rnacentral:rRNA from 1 species
UUUUUAAAUUGAGAGUUUGAUCCUGGCUCAGGAUGAACGCUGGUGGCGUGCCUAAUACAUGCAAGUCGUACGCU